CAGUGCCGCGGUAAUACGUAGGGUGCGAGCGUUAAUCGGAAUUACUGGGCGUAAAGCGUGCGCAGGCGGUUUUGUAAGACAGGCGUGAAAUCCCCGGGCUCAACCUGGGAAUGGCGCUUGUGACUGCAAAGCUAGAGUGCGGCAGAGGGGGAUGGAAUUCCGCGUGUAGCAGUGAAAUGCGUAGAUAUGCGGAGGAACACCGAUGGCGAAGGCAAUCCCCUGGGCCUGCACUGACGCUCAUGCACGAAAGCGUGGGGAGCAAACAGGAUUAGAUACCCCUGUAGUCCCUGUCUCUUAUACA
rnacentral:rRNA from 1 species